AGAGUUUGAUCCUGGCUCAGAUUGAACGCUGGCGGCAGGCCUAACACAUGCAAGUCGAGCGGUAGCACAGAGAGCUUGCUCUCGGGUGACGAGCGGCGGACGGGUGAGUAAUGUCUGGGAAACUGCCUGAUGGAGGGGGAUAACUACUGGAAACGGUAGCUAAUACCGCAUAACGUCGCAAGACCAAAGUGGGGGACCUUCGGGCCUCAUGCCAUCAGAUGUGCCCAGAUGGGAUUAGCUAGUAGGUGGGGUAACGGCUCACCUAGGCGACGAUCCCUAGCUGGUCUGAGAGGAUGACCAGCCACACUGGAACUGAGAUACGGUCCAGACUCCUACGGGAGGCAGCAGUGGGGAAUAUUGCACAAUGGGCGCAAGCCUGAUGCAGCCAUGCCGCGUGUGAAGAAGGCCUUCGGGUUGUAAAGCACUUUCAGCGGGGAGGAAGGCGUUAAGGUUAAUAACCUUGGCGAUUGACGUUACCCGCAGAAGAAGCACCGGCUAACUCCGUGCCAGCAGCCGCGGUAAUACGGAGGGUGCAAGCGUUAAUCGGAAUUACUGGGCGUAAAGCGCACGCAGGCGGUCUGUCAAGUCGGAUGUGAAAUCCCCGGGCUCAACCUGGGAACUGCAUUCGAAACUGGCAGGCUAGAGUCUUGUAGAGGGGGGUAGAAUUCCAGGUGUAGCGGUGAAAUGCGUAGAGAUCUGGAGGAAUACCGGUGGCGAAGGCGGCCCCCUGGACAAAGACUGACGCUCAGGUGCGAAAGCGUGGGGAGCAAACAGGAUUAGAUACCCUGGUAGUCCACGCCGUAAACGAUGUCGAUUUGGAGGUUGUGCCCUUGAGGCGUGGCUUCCGGAGCUAACGCGUUAAAUCGACCGCCUGGGGAGUACGGCCGCAAGGUUAAAACUCAAAUGAAUUGACGGGGGCCCGCACAAGCGGUGGAGCAUGUGGUUUAAUUCGAUGCAACGCGAAGAACCUUACCUGGUCUUGACAUCCACAGAGCUUUCCAGAGAUGGAUUGGUGCCUUCGGGAACUGUGAGACAGGUGCUGCAUGGCUGUCGUCAGCUCGUGUUGUGAAAUGUUGGGUUAAGUCCCGCAACGAGCGCAACCCUUAUCCUUUGUUGCCAGCGGUCCGGCCGGGAACUCAAAGGAGACUGCCAGUGAUAAACUGGAGGAAGGUGGGGAUGACGUCAAGUCAUCAUGGCCCUUACGACCAGGGCUACACACGUGCUACAAUGGCAUAUACAAAGAGAAGCGACCUCGCGAGAGCAAGCGGACCUCAUAAAGUAUGUCGUAGUCCGGAUUGGAGUCUGCAACUCGACUCCAUGAAGUCGGAAUCGCUAGUAAUCGUAGAUCAGAAUGCUACGGUGAAUACGUUCCCGGGCCUUGUACACACCGCCCGUCACACCAUGGGAGUGGGUUGCAAAAGAAGUAGGUAGCUUAACCUUCGGGAGGGCGCUUACCACUUUGUGAUUCAUGACUGGGGUGAAGUCGUAACAAGGUAACC
rnacentral:rRNA from 1 species